rnacentral:rRNA from 1 species
AAUGAACGCUGGCGGCGUGCCUAAUACAUGCAAGUCGAGCGAACGGACGAGAAGCUUGCUUCUCUGAUGUUAGCGGCGGACGGGUGAGUAACACGUGGAUAACCUACCUAUAAGACUGGGAUAACUUCGGGAAACCGGUGCUAAUACCGGCUGAUAUUUUGAACCGCAUGGUUCAAAAGUGAAAGACGGUCUUGCUGUCACUUAUAGAUGGAUCCGCGCUGCAUUAGCUAGUUGGUAAGGUAACGGCUUACCAAGGCAACGAUGCAUAGCCGACCUGAGAGGGUGAUCGGCCACACUGGAACUGAGACACGGUCCAGACUCCUACGGGAGGCAGCAGUAGGGAAUUUUCCGCAAUGGGCGAAAGCCUGACGGAGCAACGCCGCGUGAGUGAUGAAGGUCUUCGGAUCGUAAAACUCUGUUAUUAGGGAAGAACAUAUGUGUAAGUAACUGUGCACAUCUUGACGGUACCUAAUCAGAAAGCCACGGCUAACUACGUG